rnacentral:rRNA from 2 species
CUAUACAUGCAAGUCGAACGAACUCUGGUAUUGAUUGGUGCUUGCAUCAUGAUUUACAUUUGAGUGAGUGGCGAACUGGUGAGUAACACGUGGGAAACCUGCCCAGAAGCGGGGGAUAACACCUGGAAACAGAUGCUAAUACCGCAUAACAACUUGGACCGCAUGGUCCGAGUUUGAAAGAUGGCUUCGGCUAUCACUUUUGGAUGGUCCCGCGGCGUAUUAGCUAGAUGGUGAGGUAACGGCUCACCAUGGCAAUGAUACGUAGCCGACCUGAGAGGGUAAUCGGCCACAUUGGGACUGAGACACGGCCCAAACUCCUACGGGAGGCAGCAGUAGGGAAUCUUCCACAAUGGACGAAAGUCUGAUGGAGCAACGCCGCGUGAGUGAAGAAGGGUUUCGGCUCGUAAAACUCUGUUGUUAAAGAAGAACAUAUCUGAGAGUAACUGUUCAGGUAUUGACGGUAUUUAACCAGAAAGCCACGGCUAACUACGUGCCAGCAGCCGCGGUAAUACGUAGGUGGCAAGCGUUGUCCGGAUUUAUUGGGCGUAAAGCGAGCGCAGGCGGUUUUUUAAGUCUGAUGUGAAAGCCUUCGGCUCAACCGAAGAAGUGCAUCGGAAACUGGGAAACUUGAGUGCAGAAGAGGACAGUGGAACUCCAUGUGUAGCGGUGAAAUGCGUAGAUAUAUGGAAGAACACCAGUGGCGAAGGCGGCUGUCUGGUCUGUAACUGACGCUGAGGCUCGAAAGUAUGGGUAGCAAACAGGAUUAGAUACCCUGGUAGUCCAUACCGUAAACGAUGAAUGCUAAGUGUUGGAGGGUUUCCGCCCUUCAGUGCUGCAGCUAACGCAUUAAGCAUUCCGCCUGGGGAGUACGGCCGCAAGGCUGAAACUCAAAGGAAUU